GAGUCUCUAGCUUACUGGUAGAGUACAUGAUUGAUGAUCACAUCGAUUCGUUAGUGAGGGUCGAUCUAGGUUCGAUUCCUGGGGGACUCA
rnacentral:tRNA from 1 species